AUGGCUGCUACAUUUUCUCUAAUUCCCGCAAAUCGUAAAAGGCCGCACACCGGGUUUCCGCGGUAACUUCACGAAGCUUCCGGUCGCCGAAAUGUCACAAAACGCAUGCUGGUGUUCGAAGAAACUGUACAUUCCGACGUCCAAAGGCGGAGACCACUGCGACAGCGGCAGGCCUUUCCUCCGCUGCUACGGCGGUUCCUUUUCUUACGAAACCAAUGAUUGCCGUAAUAUGUCAACUGGAACUUCCACCGGUAAACGCUACCCAGCGUAUAAUACUAUCUUAUCGCAUUUCCUGCGCCAACAACAUUCUGCGAAGAUAGCAGAUAAUUGUCCCGCACAUAUAUGCGUCCGCUUAAUUAGGCCAUUGUCAUGUUGAUCAAAAUGCAGUUUCCCCUCGGCCUGUCCCCUUUUCGUGUCGUACACCUGCCUAAUCACCGCGGCAUGCCGCAAUCAAGGUGACCUUUACGAUAAGCCCUUCCUCGGAAAAUGACAAACAGCGCCAUAAAGAUAUCGACCGGCGCAGAACUUAUCGGAAAUACGUGAAAACUCCUGUCAGUGUCCAGUUCACAUUCCGGACCCACAGUACUCGAACAACCAGACAAUAACCUUGGACGAGUCAGCAGCAGCCGGUGACGCACGUGGGGAUUUCCGGAAAUUAUCGCAAAUAAUAUAUCGUCAAAAAUGAAUUCCAUCCGAAAUCCGUAAUAAUGAUGAAUUUAUUAGGGUUGACAAUUCUGCGCACAAGCUGGUUGAACUGUGCCGAUAAACUCUGCUGUUUCCGGUUGUAAACAAAUACACAUAAUAUUUCGUAUGUACAAAAGGAAUGCCUCAGGGGAUAGUCAUAGAAUAUCAGCCAUAAAAGUUACACCGCUCCCAUUUACGGAUUAUCAAUAUUCGCCGGAUGUACCACGGUCAUAAAUCAAAGAAAUAACGAAUACAUUAACUUAAAUGACAUUUAGCCAAUAAUUAGUUUCGUGGUAGCGAGGCGAGGAAGAUGGCCGAAAGGGGUGGGGUGUUGUUGGCGCCGGUAUUGCACACCGGGAAGUUGGUCGUCAGAUCCCACGUGGUCGGGCUCAGAUCGCUGAAACGCCGGCAGAUCUGCGCGAAAUAAUAAUUAGCCAGAUUCUCCAUGUAGCGCUUCUGCUCGCUGGUUAACAGCGGAGGCCGAAUGCGGGUGAUUAUCCAGAAGAACGGCUGGUCGCACCGGCGCCCGUCCCGGUUGGCGGUCUCGCAGCGGUACAGCAGUUGCACCAGGACCUUUUUGCAUACCGAGCGGCGCCGUGGGUCCGCCGAUCUGGGCGAGGACCGUCCGGUGGCCGUUGGACGAGUAGUUGCCCUGCUGCGGGAAGUUGAUACACAUCAGGGGAUCGGCGGCACCCGGGAUGUUGGCGAACAUGUUGUAGAUCCACGUGACGAAGUAGGAACUGCCCGGCGGCGUCCCGGGCGUCGGUCCCAGGAUGGUGGCGUUCAUGAAAACAUUCACGCCCGAGGGAUCAUUGCCCACCGGGCCGUUGCGGUACAUGUACUCGUACCAGAUUCCCGCUGCCUGCAAUUUUCCAGCAGAAGUUCACAAUUUAUUUAUAUAUUUAUUUACCUACAUAAAAUAAAAUAAUAUAAUUAAUAUAAUAAUAUAAUACGAGUAAUAUAAUGUAUUAUAUUUAUUUACCGAAAUAAAAUAAUAUAUUAAAUAUACAUACUCUUUAAAAAUGGCAUAAUUAAUAAUAAAAAAUUAUAUAUAUAAAAAUAUAAUAUGCGGGCUUUUAUAAAAAUCCAAAUAUAAAAUAUAAAUAAAACAAGAAGAUUUUAUUUAAACGGAAAUUAAGAAAGAAUCACUAGCGUGAUUACUUUGGUGACGUCGACCGGUUGACCCGGAACAUCCAGCGGAAUAUCGGGACACUGUAUGGACUGCGCGCGUGUCGACGCUGCCGCGGUUAAAAAAACACUCAAAAUUACACCGAUCAUCUUCAGUUCUUUUUGCUAGCGUGUAACCGGUUAGUUUUCUCGUCUGGAUUGUGCGCGCUUCAUUUAUUUUAUAUGGAGAGAAAAAACUGCCGGUGUCAGCUGAGUUUGUUUGUUGUCGAGGUCUGUACAAUAAUGGUAGUGUAAGGUUCGGUAUUAUGAACGCCAUAUCGUUACAGAACCCACAUCAGCCGAUUACGAUCCAUAAAAAAAAAUUCUGCUGUGCUGCGUAACACAGUGAUCUGUCAUGUUCAACAUCAAUAAUACCGUCUUGUAUAUUUGCACGUUUUUCCCCAUGUAACCAGACACCAUGCGAGUCGUCGAACGCCAGUGCUAACACGGACAAAAGUCCGCGUCUCACUGUUAAAAAAUUUAUAUACGUAUAAUGUACUAACGUGACGACCGACAAUUCACUGCUGUCUUUUUCGUUGUCUUUUUUGAAAUAUUUUUGUAGUUACGAUAAUCGUUAAUAUUGACAGCAUAGCGGCUUAAUUUGACGAUCAUCCGAUAAAGGUCACUUUUGAGUUAUACGCUUCAAAGUCCAAUCGAGCCAAAUAUAAUUAACACCGACUGAAUCAUCAUCCUUCCGAUGACGCCAGGACGUUUGCACGGAACGAUAUGAUUAUUAACGCAAUGCCACGGAAACAGGAGCGGAAAUGGUGCCGCGCAAUCGCCAUUGCCAAUGUUUUCCGUAACAAUUCACUUCCGCUGUUAAUCGCCCACCGCGCGGCAUCCCGUCAACCGCUGCCAAAUGACGAUUAAACGGCGCCGGCAUCGUGAAUGACGCACUGUUAUCUUCCUAAAGGUCACCUUCCCGUUAUUGUCCGGCGAGCACUGACAAUGCUGGCUGCAUCCGGCACACAACGCACAAUGCGCUGUUUACGUAACCUUCACGCGUUCUUUAUGAUUAGAUUACCCGUUUCUUCAUUCGUUUUAUUGGCGCGCUGUAAUGUCCAGCGGCACGCGACGCCGUUAACGUGUAUCCCGAUAACAAUGAGCUACCUGAAUUGUUUAUUCGAACUUCGGCUGAUUGAAUUCUCUGCGCAAUGUGUGUGACUGAGCAGAGUGCAGAAUUACACAGUGUUAAUUGUGCCGAUAUUUGCGUUUAAUUAGUGUUAUGACAAUGGGUUUCCGGUUGCACCUACGCUGUUGGCGCACGGAAGCGAGGAAUGUUCAGACAAUGACGCUGAUAAAAAGAUCAUGACCUUGGCUGUAAUAAACGCAGGAUACGCACGCUACACAACACGGGACAAUGAGCGUCAUUGUUGUUUUAUUAACGCCGAUAAGGGACAAUGUUGGCGCGUGCGAUGAAAGACGGCCGCAGCGUUGGGGAAAUU